CUUCAGCCUAUUAUUUAAUCCAGAGUGUUUCUUUAAUUUGUAAUGUGACAAACAAUGUCAGUUCCCCACCCGCCAUUAUUUUGUUACUUAUACAAACAUACAUUUUGUGCACAGAUGAAAACGCUGCACUGGGGUAUAAAAUAUUCAAGAAAAACUGUGAGAAACCUUAAAAAAAUUGUCCCUGCACAUAUAAAAAUAAAUUAAUACUUUGCGUCCAGUAAACCUCAAAACUUAUUUUCAUGCCUCCAAAAAUCACAUGUACAAACUGAGGCUUCAUUGGCUUUCCUUCGCACAAACACUUAUGUACACCCUGGGUCAAUGAGGAAGAUUUAUUUACAUUUAACGAGGUAAAAAUGACCCCCCCUCCUUUUUUUUUUUUUUUUAAACAGCUGAAGUCACACAAUCCCCAUCAUUAACCAUCAGAUUUUAAACAAAUGAUCCAGAAUAGAAAUCAAACAGUUUAGAAGAAACCAAAAAUAGGAAAACAAACUUUACACAGUAGUACAAGGAGAUGUUAAACAGCAACAUCUGAGGACUUGGAGGAAAUAAUCUCACACCAGUUACAUAAAUAAAUAAAAAGCACAACCCAAAAUUUUGCUUUUAAUAUUGAAGAAUACAGCACAUUUUUUCCUGGUUUUUAAGUGAAAAGAGUGUUUCUCAAUCUGUUGUCUUGGCAACAUUAAUUAACAGCAGCAUUGAGAGAGAGCAGAGUGACAGAAAGGGGAAAAUGUAUAUACAGAAAAAUUGAUAAAUGGGGGGAAGAAUAGAUCCUUUGCCUCAGGCACUUUGAGUGUGGAGGCUGACUAGUCAGUCCUGACGUGGAUUUUUAUUGGCCGCUGGUGUUUACCAUUUAGGUCCUGUGUGUUGGAGAGGUAGUUGCAGCUCGGGGGCUCAUUCAAGGAUGACCACUUCCACAUAUUGUCCCACAAAGUCUUGUGAGCAAACAAGUGCGGUCAGAUGCAGAGGCCCCUGAGAGUGACACAGCAGAAAGACCAUACUGUGGUGGAAAGAAACUGGGAUGAAAAACAUCUUAAUAGGGCCCUGAAGCAUGAAUGCAAGUGUACUUGAGCACCAAGAAGGUCUUGAUGGCUGCUGAUGGAGGUUGUGUGGCCAUGUGGCCAGCAUUGGAUUGCAUCUGGUCCUGAUGUUGCUGUAUUAGCUGCCAGAACCGCAGCU